CAGUCGCCACGGUAAUACGUAGGGUCCGAGCGUUGUCCGGAAUUACUGGGCGUAAAGCGCACGUAGGCGGAUAUUUAAGUCAGGGGUGAAAUCCCGCAGCUCAACUGCGGAACUGCCUUUGAUACUGGGUAUCUUGAGUAUGGAAGAGGUUAGUGGAAUUGCGAGUGUAGAGGUGAAAUUCGUAGAUAUUCGCAGGAACACCAGUGGCGAAGGCGGCUAACUGGUCCAUAACUGGCGCUGAGGUGCGAAAGCGUGGGGAGCAAACAGGAUUAGAUACCCCAGUAGUCCCUGUCUCUUAUAC
rnacentral:rRNA from 1 species